UUAAUAAAGAUACUAUUACGUGUAUUUCUGUAUUGGCCUUGUUAUUGGUCCUCGGCCAGCUGUAUUGGCCUUCGGCUUCGCCUCAGGCCAAUACAGCAAGCAUCGGACAAAUAACAAGGCCAAUACAGAAAUACUUACGUAAUAAUAUCAUAUUAUAGAUCACUGUAGAUGAGACUUAAAUAAAAUAUUGAAUUGAAUACAAUAAGUUACAAAUGUACAUCAAGCAUGUUAAGAGAUAAAGCAUUACACAAUAUCUGAAUGUGGUAAAUUGACUCUUAUUUUAAUAAGCCUAAUACAUCACCAAAUUAACUAACCAUUGGUCAUGUAAAUUUUCUAACCCAAAGACUGUGAAAUUUUGUAAUUGAAACACGUUUUUUUUAAUCUGAGAUAAGAGUAGUUUGUUGACGAUGUGACAUAGGUAUUACUUUAUGGCAAUGUAAUGGUGCAAACAAAUGGUGUAAACCAUUGAUUUUCUUGAUAAGGUUGAUAUAUUUCACUUUGAAAAAAUGUUUAAAAAAAACAUUCUUUUUCAUUAGAUGAUUCAUCAUUUUAUGUGUUACUUGAUCUUAAUUUUUAUGCUUUAAAAAUUGAUUAUGCAAUAUAUGUGUAUUUGUAUGAAUUAUUUAUAAUAGAAUUUGUUAUUUCUGAAAUAAAAAAUGCAGCAAUUUUACUGAAUUUGUUAAACUCAAGAUUGUUGUCAUUGAUUUACUUACUAGUAUUCUUGAGCACUUAUAGACAAAUUAAGGGAGUUGAAGCAAUAUAAUGGUAUUUGUAGCAGAAAUAGGAUAUUUAACAAAACCACCUACACUCAGUCAACUCUGAGAAGUGAAAGUGGCUGGUCAGUAUCGUUGAUUGUUAUCAUUUCUGUAACUAGAUAAUACCCUUUACUCUAAC
rnacentral:lncRNA from 1 species